rnacentral:rRNA from 1 species
UACGAAGGGGGCUAGCGUUGUUCGGAAUUACUGGGCGUAAAGCGCACGCAGGCGGAUUGAUAAGUCGAACGUGAAAUCCCUGGGCUCAACCCAGGAACUGCGUCCGAUACUGGCAGGCUUGAAUUCGGGAGAGGGAUGCGGAAUUCCAGGUGUAGCGGUGAAAUGCGUAGAUAUCUGGAGGAACACCGGUGGCGAAGGCGGCAUCCUGGACCGAUAUUGACGCUGAGGCGCGAAAGCCAGGGGAGCAAACGGG